AUGUAUAUGUGUGUAUACGUGUAUGUGUCUAUGUAUACGUGUGUGCAUGUGUGUAAACAUGUAUACAGGUGUAUAUGUGUGUAUAUGUAUUAUCUGCAUAUACCUGUGUGUAUGUCUGUGCAUAUGUCCAUAUAUGUGUGUGUGUGCGUAUCUGUGUAUAUGUGUAUAAAAGUAUGUGUGUACAUGUGUAUAUGUGUGUACGUGAAUAUUGUGUCUAUGUAUAUGUGUACGUGUGUAUAUGUGUAUGUGUGUAUGUGUCCGUGUAUGUGUGUAUAUCUAUAUAUGUAUAUACAUGUGUGUACAUGUGUGUAUACAAGUAUGUGUAUGUGUGUACACGUGUGUAUACAUGUGUACGUGUGUAUAUUAUGUGUGUAUAUGUGUGUGUAUACGUGUAUAUACAUGUAUGUGUAUAUGUGCAUAAAAGUGUGUGUAUAUGUGUAUAUAUGUAUAUAUGUGUAUACGUGUGUAUGUGUGUACAUGUCUGUGUAUAUGUAUACAUGUGUGUGCAUGUGUGUGUGUAUGUGCACGUGUGUAUAUGCAUGUGAGUGUGCAUGUGUACACACGGGUAUACGUGUGUAUGUGUGUGUACACACGCGGUGCAGGACACGCGUGUGUGCUGGAUUGAGAGCGUGUGUGCUGUGGACCGACAGCCUUGAUACGGUGGCCACUGCCCACGCCGCGGCAGCCAAGCGGCCCCAGGUGAGGACUGGACGGCGCCAGCGUUGCACACGCGUUCCGCCCGGGAGCCCCGUGCCAGCUGUGGUGGCCACGGCUGCUGCCCCGGCUGGCCGCAGGAAGCGAGUCUCCGGGAGAAGCGACGUCGUGAGGGGCCACAGAGCCAGGAGACGCAGGAUCCCGAGGAUGGCUUCCCCCGAUGCCGCACCGCCCGUGAGCCACCCCGGAAAAGCCCCGGCCCCUCCUCCGCACUCCCAGCACACGAGCCGUCUCGGGGGGCUCCCCUGCAGGCCUCGAACCCCUGCCCCGGGGCAGGUCCCCUGUGAGCGACCAGGACUACGCGACCAGGCAAGGCCACGGCCCACACAUCCGCGACCAGGGCCACGAAGGUGA
rnacentral:lncRNA from 1 species